rnacentral:rRNA from 1 species
UACGGAGGGUGCAAGCGUUAUCCGGAUUCACUGGGCUUAAAGGGUGCGUAGGUGGGCAGUUAAGUCAGUGGUGAAAUCUCCGGGCUCAACCCGGAAACUGCCAUUGAUACUAUCUGUCUUGAAUAUCGUGGAGGUAAGCGGAAUAUGUCAUGUAGCGGUGAAAUGCUUAGAUAUGACAUAGAACACCAAUUGCGAAGGCAGCUUACUACCCGAAUAUUGACACUGAGGCACGAAAGCGUGGGGAUCAAACAGG